rnacentral:rRNA from 1 species
ACUCCUACGGGAGGCAGCAGUGAGGAAUAUUGGUCAAUGGGCGCAAGCCUGAACCAGCCAUGCCGCGUGCAGGAUGACGGUCCUAUGGAUUGUAAACUGCUUUUGUACGGGAAGAAACACUCCUUCGUGAAGGAGCUUGACGGUACCGUAAGAAUAAGGAUCGGCUAACUCCGUGCCAGCAGCCGCGGUAAUACGGAGGAUCCAAGCGUUAUCCGGAAUCAUUGGGUUUAAAGGGUCCGCAGGCGGUCAAUUAAGUCAGAGGUGAAAUCCUAUAGCUUAACUAUAGAACUGCCUUUGAUACUGGUUGACUUGAGUUAUACGGAAGUAGGUAGAAUGUGUAGUGUAGCGGUGAAACGCAUAGAUAUUACACAGAAUACCGAUUGCGAAGGCAGCCUACUACGUAUAUACUGACGCUCAUGGACGAAAGCGUGGGAGCGAACAGAUUAGAUACCCUGGUAGGACAGUG